rnacentral:rRNA from 1 species
UACGAAGGGGGCUAGCGUUGCUCGGAAUUACUGGGCGUAAAGCGCACGUAGGCGGCUUCUUAAGUCGGUGGUGAAAUCCUGGAGCUCAACUCCAGAACUGCCCUUGAUACUGAGGAUCUUGAGUUCGGGAGAGGUGAGUGGAACUGCGAGUGUAGAGGUGAAAUUCGUAGAUAUUCGCAAGAACACCAGUGGCGAAGGCGGCUCACUGGCCCGAUACUGACGCUGAGGCACGAAAGCGUGGGGAGCAAACAGG